rnacentral:rRNA from 1 species
GAGUUUGAUCCUAGCUCAGGGCCGAACGCUGGCGGCGUGCCUAACACAUGCAAGUCGAACGGAGUUGAGUGCUUCGGUAUUCAACUUAGUGGCAAACGGGUGAGUAACGCGUGAGGAACCUGCCUUUCAGUGGGGGACAACAGUUGGAAACGACUGCUAAUACCGCAUGAUACUUUUUGGGGGCAUCCCCGAAAAGUCAAAGAUUUAUUGCUGAAAGAUGGCCUCGCGUCUGAUUAGCUAGUUGGCGGGGUAACGGCCCACCAAGGCGACGAUCAGUAGCCGGUCUGAGAGGAUGAACGCCACAUUGGGACUGAGAUACGGCCCAGACUCCUACGGGAGGCAGCAGUGGGGAAUAUUGGGCAAUGGGGGAAACCCUGACCCAGCAACGCCGCGUGAAGGAAGAAGGCCCUCGGGUUGUAAACUUCUUUUACCAGGGACGAAGGACGUGACGGUACCUGGAGAAAAAGCAACGGCUAACUACGUGCCAGCAGCCGCGGUAAUACGUAGGUUGCAAGCGUUGUCCGGAUUUACUGGGUGUAAAGGGCGUGUAGGCGGAGCUGCAAGUCAGAUGUGAAAUCCUGGGGCUUAACCCCGGAACUGCAUUUGAAACUGUAGCCCUUGAGUAUCGGAGAGGCAAGCGGAAUUCCUAGUGUAGCGGUGAAAUGCGUAGAUAUUAGGAGGAACACCAGUGGCGAAGGCGGCUUGCUGGACGACAACUGACGCUGAGGCGCGAAAGCGUGGGGAGCAAACAGGAUUA